ACAAGGAUUCCCCUAGUAACGGCGAGUGAAGAGGGAAGAGCUCAAAUUUUGAAUCUGGCGUCUUUGGCGUCCGAAUUGUAAUCUAGAGAAGUGUUUUCCGUGACGGACCGUGCAUAAGUCUCCUGGAAUGGAGCGUCAUGGAGGGUGAGAAUCCCGUAUAUGGCACGGACUCCCGUUGCUCUGUGAUACACUCUCGACGAGUCGAGUUGUUUGGGAAUGCAGCUCUAAACGGGUGGUAAAUGCCAUCUAAAGCUAAAUAUUGGCGAGAGACCGAUAGCGAACAAGUACCGUGAGGGAAAGAUGAAAAGCACUUUGGAAAGAGAGUGAAACAGUACGUGAAAUUGUUGAAAGGGAAACGCUUGAAGUCAGUCGCGCCGUUCGGGAUUCAGCCUUGCUUCUGCUCGGUUUACUUCCCGUUGGGUGGGUCAACAUCAGUUUYGGUCGGAGGAGAAAGACUUGGGGAAGGUGGCAGCAUUCGUGCUGUGUUAUAGCCCCUUGUUGUAUACUUCGACUGGGACUGAGGAUCGCAGCACGCCUUUGGCCGGGGUUCGCCCACGUACGUGCUUAGGAUGUUGGCAUAAUG
rnacentral:rRNA from 1 species